GUAGCGGAUGCAGAGUGUGUGUUAGUGUAGUGAAUGCAGUGUUAAUGUGUAGUGAAUGCAGAGAGUGUGUUAGUGUGUAGCGGAUGCAGAGUGUGUGUUAGUGUAGCGGAUGCAGAGUGUGUGUUAGUGUAGCGGAUGCAGAGUGUGUGUUAGUGUAGCGGAUGCAGAGUGUGUGUUAGUGUAGCGGAUGCAGUGUGUGUUGCGUUAGUGUAUGCAGUGUGUGUUAGUGUAUGCAGUGUGUGUGUGUGUUAGUGUAUGCAGUGUGUUGUGUUAGUGUAUGCAGUGUGUGUGUUAGUGUAUGCAGUGUGUGUGUGUUGUGUUAGUGUAUGCAAUGUGUGUGUGUGUGU